rnacentral:rRNA from 1 species
UACGACUACAUAUCAGGCAUAUCAAUAAGCGGAGGAAAAGAAACUAACAAGGAUUCCCUUAGUAACGGCGAGUGAAGCGGGAAGAGCUCAAAUUUGAAAUCUUCAAGGUUCUACCUUGACGAAUUGUAGUUUAAAGAAGUGUUUUCUGUUGGAGUUUCGGUAAAAGUUCUUUGGAAUAGGACAUCAUAGAGGGUGAGAAUCCCGUAUUUGACCGUUACUUUCCAGCUGUGUGAUACACUUUCAAAGAGUCGGAUUGUUUGGGAAUGCAGUCCAAGAUGGGUGGUAAAUUUCAUCUAAAGCUAAAUAUUGGCGAGAGACCGAUAGCGAACAAGUACCGUGAGGGAAAGAUGAAAAGAACUUUGAAAAGAGAGUUAAACAGUACGUGAAAUUGUCAAAAGGGAAGCGUUUGACACCAGUGUUGUUUUUCCGAAAAUCAAUUAAGAAGUGGCUUGAUUUUGUGUUGUAUUGACCUUAUCAGCUUUCUUCACUCUUUUUCGAGUCUUUCUUAAUGCACUUUUCGGUUAACAAGUCAACAUCAAUUUCUUUUGUUGUAAAAGGGUAUUUGGAAGGUGGCUUUACUUUCGGAGUAAAGUGCUUAUAGCCUUUUAACUCUGCAAUCGGAGAGAUUGAGGUCUGCAGCGUAGAUCCUUCGGGGCUAGAUACACUUUGUGCUAAGUUAUAGGCUUUUCAUAGACAACUUGUUGACUCAUGUUUAGUCAUUGUAGCUUACCUCGCUAGAUGCUAUUUUACCUACGCUUAGGAUGUUGAUCUACAGAGCGAGAGU